rnacentral:lncRNA from 1 species
AAUUUUGUCAUCUCUUAGUCAGCUUUCUUCUCUCAAGCAUUUGAGAUUUCGAAUCUACCUUUUAAAGAGAGAAAAUUACGGUAAUAGUAAGUUCAAAAUACUUCAUAUUCUGGUGGUUAUUUCAUAGAUCAUGUAAUUAUCGAAGAAUCAGCCCUUUAGACAAUAAAUCAAGUUAUUAUAAUUAAACUUUUCUUGUUGCAGUAUAAGAUAAGCAAUUUCUCUAAACCUUUAAUUUUCUCUAUUAAAAGUACAGAUCAAAAAACCAAUUUAACCUUAUUAGUGUAUUACGAGAAAAAGCAAAGGGAGUAAAUAAUUUUAAAAUACAGUAACAAUACAACAUUUUUGAGAAAAAAAACAUACGAGUGCUAGAAUUUUUGGAGUGAAGACCAGAUAACGGAAUUUCAACUUUUACUAAUUCUUUGAAUGCAAAAACAUAGUCCAUGGAAAAAACAAUAUAAAAG